rnacentral:rRNA from 1 species
UACGGGGGGGGCAAGCGUUGUUCGGAAUUACUGGGCGUAAAGGGCUCGUAGGCGGCCAACUAAGUCAGACGUGAAAUCCCUCGGCUUAACCGGGGAACUGCGUCUGAUACUGGAUGGCUUGAGUGUGGGAGAGGGAUGCGGAAUUCCAGGUGUAGCGGUGAAAUGCGUAGAUAUCGGGAAGAACACCCGUGGCGAAGGCGGCUCUCUGGGACGGUACUGACGCUGAGACGCGAAAGCCAGGGGAGCAAAGCGGG